UGUGGGGUGCAAAAAACGGAAAAAGUGGAAUGCAGGAGAGAAAAUGGAUUGGACAGAUUAGGCAGGCCAAAUGUUGGGGGAAACCUUUCCACAUUAAUACUUGAUUGAGAGGUAGACUGCUCCAGAACAGGCAGGUUCUGUUGAGCCUUCCUUCAAAACAGCCGUUAUCUCCCCCUCCCUGCCACCAAUUCCAUCUGUUUAGCCUUCUCGGUGGGCUUGUGUGGCUGCUCCUCUUCCGGGGGGGCUCGUGGCGGGGUGAUUUCUACCCGUUCACCCUGCUUUCUCUUCCGCCAGUGGAGAACCCGGCUCACUGCGACUUUGUCAAGCUGCGCACCAUGCUGAUACGGACCCACAUGCAGGACCUGAAAGACGUGACGCGGGAGACGCAUUACGAGAACUACCGGGCCCAGUGCAUCCAAAGUAUGACCCGGAUGGUGGUCAAGGAGCGGAACCGCAAGCAUGAAGAGGAAAGACAGAAAAUGUAGUCGUAGCCAAACUGCUUUCAACUCCCACAUUUUUCCCCUCCUCAAAUGACUAUUUAAAGGCCUUCAAAGCAAGACAGGAAUUGACGGCUGCCACUGCCUGAAAACUGUUUUGGGAACAAAAUAAAUUAUACCCGUUGGAA